CCUACGGGAGGCAGCAGUGGGGAAUAUUGCACAAUGGGCGCAAGCCUGAUGCAGCCAUGCCGCGUGUGUGAAGAAGGCCUUCGGGUCGUAAAGCACUUUCAGCGGGGAGGAAGGCGGUGAGGUUAAUAACCUCAUCGAUUGACGUUACCCGCAGAAGAAGCACCGGCUAACUCCGUGCCAGCAGCCGCGGUAAUACGGAGGGUGCAAGCGUUAAUCGGAAUUACUGGGCGUAAAGCGCACGCAGGCGGUCUGUCAAGUCGGAUGUGAAAUCCCCGGGCUCAACCUGGGAACUGCAUUCGAAACUGGCAGGCUAGAGUCUUGUAGAGGGGGGUAGAAUUCCAGGUGUAGCGGUGAAAUGCGUAGAGAUCUGGAGGAAUACCGGUGGCGAAGGCGGCCCCCUGGACAAAGACUGACGCUCAGGUGCGAAAGCGUGGGGAACAAACAGGAUUAGAUACCCUUGUAGUC
rnacentral:rRNA from 1 species